rnacentral:lncRNA from 1 species
ACAAAGGCCCUCCUCGUUUCUCCAGUUCUGAUUGGCUCCUGUACUAUUGGUUUUGGUAUCAUCAGACCUGUGUCUACCUUGCUUCUGAGUAGGUCAGAGGCCCCAGCUAUUUACCCUUCCUGAAGCAGCUCCCCUUUCCGAGUAGCAAGAAAGGAGUUCCAAACUCCAGGAACAUUUACACAGCAGGCAAGUUUCUUGGUGCUGGGGCUAUCAUAGUUGGUGCUAGAUCAGGAGCUGGAGCCACAGCUCUCCUCCUGAGCCAUUCUGGUUUGUGUUAUGUUUGUUACCAAGGAGCUCUUUUAUUUGAUGGUUGCUUUCCUUGUU